rnacentral:lncRNA from 10 species
GUGAGCAGAAGAGAGAAACCGGGCUGCAAAAAAGGAAAAUAAAGGCGGGACGUGGGGGUAUGAUUUGCUGAAUGGUACCAAAGUUGAUUUUUUGCACCGUGCACAGUGAUCGAGCUGAGCAAAUUAUUUUUUUUUUAAUUAUAAGCAGCGGUAAGAACAACAACAAAAUUACAUUUGGAAAAUGAUUUGCAUUUUCUCGGUCUGAUCAUUUCACGUUCCCUGGGAAAGGGAUGUCAAGAGUGCCUUGCUGCCUCCUCAUGUGUGUCAAUAGGAGAGUGAUGAUAUUUGAGUUGGAUCUUAAAGAGUAAGUAGGAGUUUGCCACACAAAGAAGUUGGGUAAGGAAAUUCCUGCAGGAGAAACCUGUAUUUGCAAAGGCAAGAAUCCAGACGGAGUGUGUCAAAUUCGGGAAAAGAACAAAAUUCAAGGUGG